AGGUCACGGCAAGACUAGCCGUUACUAAUAACGAUAGGUGCCAAGUGGAAGUGCAGUAAUGUAKGUAGCUGAGGCAUCCUAACAGACCGAGAGAUUUGAAC
rnacentral:rRNA from 1 species